rnacentral:siRNA from 1 species
GGCCACAAUCGUUAAUUUCUAUGC